rnacentral:misc_RNA from 1 species
UCAUUUGGAAAUGGUGAAGAAGCUAACAUGAGGAGGUUUGGCACCUUUUGGUUCAAAUCUUGGAAAUCUGGCAAGAACGGAUUAGAUGUCCCUGUUCUAAAGACGCUCGUUCUUGUGGCAACUCGAGCAAUUAGUAAUGAAGAAAUUCUCCUGAACUACAGAUUGAGCAACUCAAAGCUUAGACCAUCAUGGUACACUCCAGUGGAUGAGGAAGAAGAUCGACGGAGGUGGAGCUAAG